CUGUCCAAGUUUGGUAGAAAUCCAGUAUAGUUCAAGAAAUUCAUUAAAAUUUCAAAAACUUUAACCACAGAGUGAAUAUUUGUGGACGCCGCCGACGACGACAGAAUGCAGGGUCGCAAAGCUCGACAAUAAAGGAUAUUCGGAGAAUAAUACCAAUGGAUGUUUGUGAUCUUCCAUUAUUUACGAUAAUUUUAAUAUCUCUACAAUAGUGAAAAGGGAGCAUUGUUUCAUAUUUCUAGUGGCUUAAUUAUGAAUACAAAGGAUAUUCACGAGGUAUUUGGGUGAAUGAUAAUGAACUACCUACAUGCUUAAACAUGCUAUACAUUUAGCAAUUAACACUGCAAUCAACAUUUUGACAAUUUUAAGAUGGUUUCAACGCAAGAAACACUUGAACUAAGACUUAAAAUAUAUAUGACCUGAGACUCGAAAUAUAACUGAACUGAAACUCGA
rnacentral:lncRNA from 1 species